rnacentral:rRNA from 1 species
UACGUAGGGUGCAAGCGUUAAUCGGAAUUACUGGGCGUAAAGCGUGCGCAGGCGGUUGUGCAAGACAGAUGUGAAAUCCCCGGGCUCAACCUGGGAAUUGCAUUUGUGACUGCACGGCUAGAGUGUGUCAGAGGGGGGUAGAAUUCCAACGUGUAGCAGUGAAAUGCGUAGAGAUGUGGAGGAAUACCGAUGGCGAAGGCAGCCCCCUGGGAUAACACUGACGCU